rnacentral:lncRNA from 1 species
AGAACUACUGGGUCAGGACUCUAAGCUUUUGAAAGGAGCAGGAUUCCAACAGUCAGUCUGGAGUUGAAAGUGAAGCUUGGAAGGUGAAGAUCUGAUCUCUCCUGGACUCUCCUGGACAGCUUGCAAGCAGCCUCUUUGAAUACCAUCAAACAAGGGCGAGAGGAAAUUCUCCAUACCCUCUGGUGGACAGAGUGGAAAUUUGGAGGAGCCUCUCUUUCCUGGGACAUCUGAGGAUUCAGUUGGAUUCCUGUACCUGGCCCACCAAGGACUCUCUUUAUGUACAGAUCAAAAGCCUACUGACAAGGAUAACUGUGCCAAGCUCUGUCUCCAUCAGUCUUAGGCCCUGUAGAGGAGCAAGUUCAGAAGAGUGCUCAGACUCAAGGAAUAGUGAGGCAGGUAUAAGUUCCUAUCUCAAGCCCAGUCUAAAUCCAGCAAAGGAUUAAAAAAGUGGAGACGUGGCUCUGGUUCUCUCUGGUGGAGACCUGGCUCUCGCUCUGGCUGGUGUGGCUCGUGGCAGUGAGGGAGAUCUAACCUCAGUGGGCAGGCACCCCCUCUGCCCCCCCUAAGAGAAAAAUAAGUUGGAAAUGAGGGAGAUCAAAAUUGAAAGUUGCCCUGAGAAAUUCAGCCAGGAAAAAUGCCAAGGCCCCACAGACAGAUAAGCUCCAGGCUUGUGCUGGGGCCUGUCUAAGGUCCCUGAUAAGCUUCAGCACUGAGACCCCAGGUGCAAAAAGCAACUUUCCAACAAAGGUUAUUCAUGAAGAAGUAUUUAAACCCCAGCCUGUCAGAAGCAACUUGGAACUCUGAUGGUAGAGGUUCCCACUGAUGCGCAUAUCAGUUUUCCCAAUAAAGGCUUUCUCCU